ensembl:lncRNA
AGAAGUGACAUUUAUAUUUGGAAGCAGAAGAUUGACACAGAAAUUAUUCUGAAACAUAAUUACAGUCAAGGCAAAUGCAUAAUAGAGAAAUUCCGGCUAGAGUUUCUCUGGGCUCCUCCUCCAUCAGUAACUAAUUCUUGCUCUUUUCUCAGCUCUGAGUGGUGAGACAUAGCAGUUCUCCCUGAAGGCAUUUAUAGAAGAUGUAAAGAUUUUUACCCAUUAAGGCAAUACAGCACACAACCACAAGUUGGGAUAUGAGCAGAUGCUGGUUCUGCAACAGCCCGUUCAAGAUAUAAUGGACAUUUACAGUGUUAUGGUGUAGUGGAAAUGCUAAGUUGUGGCUUGAAGCAGUGAUUGAGCACCUGGUGGGAAGGCAGGGCCAACCCAGAGGACCUCAGGUGCAUGCAAUACAGCUGAGUGACCAGAAGGGCUGGGGAGCCAGGAUCCACUCCUUCCCAGACCUCAUUUAAAGGUUGGCAGUGGAGACAAAGUUAUCUUGCUGGAUGUCCCUAUCUACCCAAGGCCUUCCAAAGUCAAUGUAAUGAGAAAAGGAGAAGAAAAAAGAAGAAAGAAGAAGUCAUACCAACAAGCGGGUAUAUAUCUAACCAGUCAACUCUGGACAUCCACACCUGAUCAGCAAUAUAUCUGAGGAUAGCUAUUGAAAAGCAAGUUUCAUCUGCCAAGGCAAGAAUAAAGAUGAACUCAGGUGGCCUUGUGCUUAAAUGUCUGUGUAUCUAUUUAUCAUCUGCUAAGGUACAAACAGCUCAUCAUUACAACAACCACUGAAGAUGAAAACAGUAUCCUUCACUCUGUCAAUUCUAAACGGGGAUCCAGUUUCUGGAAAUACCAGUUAAACUUUGUUGAACAUAAAAAGGAAAAAACAAUCUUUUAUCACAGACAUUUUUUUUCUGUCAGAAAAUCCUUUCCCACCCUUUCCAUAGAUACAUGUCCACUACAGCUAACAAACAUGUACUAAUAAUUGUCAUGCAUUUGUCCUAAUAUGGACUCCAACUUAUCUAGUGUAAAGCUCCAUAAUAUACUGUUUUGCCAUGUACUUUAGUGGUAAGAACUUACGAUUAAAUGGCAUACAAUAAUUAAGGUUUUCUACCAUUAAAUUGUUAGUUAUUAAGUAUUUUAUUUCCACUUAUUUUGAAACAUAGAUUAAAAGCAUGGUAUCUACUCUUGCUAGUACAAGUUUGCAUGCCUGUAUCCGCUCUAGAACCAGGUGAGGC